rnacentral:rRNA from 1 species
GAUGAACGCUGGCGGCGUGCCUAAUACAUGCAAGUCGAACGAACAGAUCAGGAUCUUGCUUCUCAGACAUUAACGGCGUACGGGUGAGUAACACGUGGAUACCCUCCCUAUUACACUGGGAUAACUUCGUGAAACCGGAGCUAAUACCGCAUAUUAUAUUUAACCGCAUGGUUCAAGAGUGAAAGACGGUAUUGCUGUCACUUAUCUUUUGAUCCGCGCCGCGGUAUCUAGUUGGUUAGGUAACGGGUUACCAAGGCAACGAUGGGUAGCCGUCGUGUUAGGGUGAGAGGCCACAAUGGAACUGAAACACGGGCAAGAUUCCUAGGGGAGGCGCCAGUAGGGAACUUUCGGAAAUGGGGGAAAGCAGGACGGAGCAAAGCACCGUGAGUAAUAAAGGUCUCGGGAUGUUAAUACUCUGUUAUUAGGAAAGAACCAAUGUGUGCGUAAAUAGGGAUGUAUUGACGGUACCUUAUGAGAAAGCCACGGCUAACUACGUG